AACGAACGCUGGCGGCAUGCCUAACACAUGCAAGUCGAACGAGACCUUCGGGUCUAGUGGCGCACGGGUGCGUAACGCGUGGGAACCUGCCCUUAGGUUCGGAAUAACUCCCCGAAAGGGGUGCUAAUACCGGAUAAUGUCUUCGGACCAAAGAUUUAUCGCCUUUGGAUGGGCCCGCGUUGGAUUAGCUAGUUGGUAGGGUAAAAGCCUACCAAGGCGACGAUCCAUAGCUGGUCUGAGAGGAUGAUCAGCCACACUGGGACUGAGACACGGCCCAGACUCCUACGGGAGGCAGCAGUGGGGAAUAUUGGAAAAUGGGCGAAAGCCUGAUCCAGCUAUGCCGCGUGAGUGAUGAAGGCCUUAGAGUUGUAAAGCUCUUUUACCCGGGAUGAUAAUGACAGUACCGGGAGAAUAAGCCCCGGCUAACUCCGUG
rnacentral:rRNA from 1 species